UACGUAGGGGGCAAGCGUUGUCCGGAUUCAUUGGGCGUAAAGAGCGUGUAGGCGGCCAUGCAGGUCCGUUGUGAAAACUCGAGGCUCAACCUCGAGACGUCGAUGGAAACCGCAUGGCUAGAGUCCGGAAGAGGAGAGUGGAAUUCCUGGUGUAGCGGUGAAAUGCGCAGAUAUCAGGAAGAACACCCGUGGCGAAGGCGGCUCUCUGGGACGGUACUGACGCUGAGACGCGAAAGCGUGGGGAGCGAACAGG
rnacentral:rRNA from 1 species